AUUGAACGCUGGCGGCAGGCCUAACACAUGCAAGUCGAGCGGAUGAAGGGAGCUUGCUCCUGGAUUCCGCGGCGGACGGGUGAGUAAUGCCUAGGAAUCUGCCUGGUAGUGGGGGAUAACGUCCGGAAACGGGCGCUAAUACCGCAUACGUCCUGAGGGAGAAAGUGGGGGAUCUUCGGACCUCACGCUAUGAGAUGAGCCUAGGUCGGGUUAGCUAGUUGGUGGGGUAAAGGCCUACCAAGGCGACGAUCCGUAACUGGUCUGAGAGGAUGAUCAGUCACACUGGAAGUGAGACAGGGUCCAGACUCCUACGGGAGGCAGCAGUGGGGAAUAUUGGACAAUGGGGGAAAGCCUGAUCCAGCCAUGCCGCGUGUGUGAAGAAGGUCUUCGGAUUGGAAAGCACUUUAAGUUGGGAGGAAGGGCAGUAAGUUAAUACCUUGCUGUUUUGACGUUACCAACAGAAGAAGCACCGGCUAACUUCGUG
rnacentral:rRNA from 1 species